GUGUAGAAGCACACAAAGCUCAGCUAGCUAAAAUGGCUUCAAAGUCUCUGGCCUUCCUGUGCGUCCUCUUCGCCUUCAUCGUCAUCGUCUCGCAAGGCAUGGUUGCUGCUAGGGAUCUCACGCAUGUUAACAGAGCAGGAGGUAACAACUACGGUGGUGGCUGGUCGGGCUCCUACGGAGGACGACGCCCAUGACGGAUGUUCUUCGUGAGAAUCUGGCAAAUAAAUGCAGUUCCGGUUUGCUUUGCAGAUCAUUCAUGUGUAUGGUAAUGUGUGGUAUGUAGUUUCUGUAUACAAGCAAGCUAGGUAGAUAUCUGGAGUGGUUUUCGACUUGCGAGGGAGUGGUAUAUAUGUGUGCUGUGUACUCUGGACGAACUUGAAUCGAAUGUAUCGACCGUUCUGGUGCUUAA